CCUACGGGUGGCAGCAGUGAGGAAUAUUGGUCAAUGGGCGAGAGCCUGAACCAGCCAAGUAGCGUGAAGGAUGACUGCCCUAUGGGUUGUAAACUUCUUUUAUAUGGGAAUAAAAUGUUGCACGUGUGGGAUUUUGUAUGUACCAUAUGAAUAAGGAUCGGCUAACUCCGUGCCAGCAGCCGCGGUAAUACGGAGGAUCCGAGCGUUAUCCGGAUUUAUUGGGUUUAAAGGGAGCGUAGAUGGAUUGUUAAGUCAGUUGUGAAAGUUUGCGGCUCAACCGUAAAAUUGCAGUUGAUACUGGCAGUCUUGAGUACAGUAGAGGUGGGCGGAAUUCGUGGUGUAGCGGUGAAAUGCUUAGAUAUCACGAAGAACUCCGAUUGCGAAGGCAGCUCACUGGACUGCAACUGACAUUGAGGCUCGAAAGUGUGGGUAUCAAACAGGAUUAGAUACCCUAGUAGUC
rnacentral:rRNA from 1 species